GCCCGAGUGGUGAAAUUGGUAUACACGACGGAUUCAAAAUCCGUUUCCUUCGGGAGUGUCGGUUCAAGUCCGACCUCGGGCA
rfam:Photobacterium damselae subsp. damselae CIP 102761 Contig58, whole genome shotgun sequence.